rnacentral:rRNA from 1 species
UGGGGAAUUUUGGACAAUGGGCGCAAGCCUGAUCCAGCAAUGCCGCGUGCAGGAUGAAGGCCUUCGGGUUGUAAACUGCUUUUGUACGGAACGAAAAGCCUCUCUCUAAUACAGGGGGGUGAUGACGGUACCGUAAGAAUAAGCACCGGCUAACUACGUGCCAGCAGCCGCGGUAAUACGUAGGGUGCAAGCGUUAAUCGGAAUUACUGGGCGUAAAGCGUGCGCAGGCGGUUUUGUAAGACAGUGGUGAAAUCCCCGGGCUCAACCUGGGAACUGCCAUUGUGACUGCAAGGCUGGAGUGCGGCAGAGGGGGGAUGGAAUUCCGCGUGUAGCAGUGAAAUGCGUAGAUAUGCGGAGGAACACCGAUGGCGAAGGCAAUCCCCUGGGCCUGCACUGACGCUCAUGCACGAAAGCGUGGGGAGCAAACAGGAUUAGAUACCCUGGUAGUCCACGCCCUAAAACGAUG